rnacentral:rRNA from 1 species
UACGUAGGGUGCAAGCGUUGUCCGGAAUUAUUGGGCGUAAAGAGCUCGUAGGCGGUUUGUUGCGUCGGCUGUGAAAUCCCGAGGCUCAACCUCGGGUCUGCAGUCGAUACGAGCAAACUAGAGUGUUGCAGGGGAGACUGGAAUUCCUGGUGUAGCGGUGAAAUGCGCAGAUAUCAGGAGGAACACCGGUGGCGAAGGCGGUUCUCUGGGCCUUACCUGACGCUGGAGGAGCGAAAG